rnacentral:rRNA from 1 species
UACGUAGGGUGCGAGCGUUGUCCGGAAUUAUUGGGCGUAAAGAGCUCGUAGGCGGUGUGUCACGUCGUUCGUGAAAACCUGCAGCUUAACUGUGGGCGUGCGGUCGAUACGGGCAUCACUGGAGUUCGGCAGGGGAGACUGGAAUUCCUGGUGUAGCGGUGAAAUGCGCAGAUAUCAGGAGGAACACCAGUGGCGAAGGCGGUGCUCUGGGCCGGUACUGACGCUGAGACGCGAAAGCGUGGGGAGCGAACAGG